GAUGAACGCUGGCGGCGUGCCUAAUACAUGCAAGUCGAGCGAACAGACGAGGAGCUUGCUCCUUUGACGUUAGCGGCGGACGGGUGAGUAACACGUAGGUAACCUACCUAUAAGACUGGGAUAACUUCGGGAAACCGGAGCUAAUACCGGAUAAUAUUUCGAACCGCAUGGUUCGAUAGUGAAAGAUGGCUUUGCUAUCACUUAUAGAUGGACCUGCGCCGUAUUAGCUAGUUGGUAAGGUAACGGCUUACCAAGGCAACGAUACGUAGCCGACCUGAGAGGGUGAUAGGCCACACUGGAACUGAGACACGGUCCAGACUCCUACGGGAGGCAGCAGUAGGGAAUCUUCCGCAAUGGGCGAAAGCCUGACGGAGCAACGCCGCGUGAGUGAUGAAGGUCUUCGGAUCGUAAAACUCUGUUAUUAGGGAAGAACAAACGUGUAAGUAACUGUGCACGUCUUGACGGUACCUAAUCAGAAAGCCACGGCUAACUACGUG
rnacentral:rRNA from 1 species